rnacentral:rRNA from 1 species
UCCGGUCAUACCAUGCUGAAUAUACCGGUUCUCGUUAGAUCACCGAAGUCAAGCAUCAUUGGGCGCGGUCAGUACUUGGGUGGGUGACCACCUGGGAACACCGCGUGCCGUU